UCACUUUCAUUUUCAUACGAUUUCACAGCCGCUGUCAUAAUCAACCCUGUGAAACUAUAUCUUGUAACUAUUCAACUACUGGCUUAGGAGGAUAUGCAUAUCUGAAAAUCAUGGAUCGUUUUGAUAAAGUUAUCGAUCUGCGUCAUUUUCGGUCUUGAUAAUCAGCAAAACUUUUUUGUGUCGAUUUCAAAAACAAAUUCUCUAUCAUGCUUCUAGAUCCAAAAACUAGCAAAGUUCCGCAACAUUUUAAAACAAAAAUCUUUCUAGUAGAAUCAGAUCGGUACCAGUUAGGUGUUCAUUGCAUUUCAAUGGUUUUGUCGGUUUGUCAGAGGCCGCUCUGCCUUACCCUGUCAAAGAAUUUGCAGAUCUGAUCUGUAGUUCUUGACGUGCUUAUUCCUUAAAUAUCAAUAUAUUUGGGGCUUUUCCAGUUUAUUCACUUCUCGGGUUUGAGGAUUGAUAAGUAAAAAUUCAGUACGAGAGGGAGAAACGCAUAGCAAACCAUUUGAAGAACCGAGUAGAUGACGCGUGCGACAGACAGACAGAUAAGAUUUUAUCAGGGUCAUCUAUCCAAUCACCACAGCGCGUAGCAGACAUAGCAAUUCUCGGGCUUCCCAUUUUGUUAUUUUCACAAUCCCGGUGAUAAAUGUGUUCGAGAUGGGAUUUGAUGAAAUUAGAUUCAGAGUUCAAUCAUUUCCAUAACUUUGAAACGCUCCUGUAACGGAUCAGAUCCCUCACCUCUAACCUUAUCAGUAUUAGUUGAAUCAUUUCUUUGGGCAACUGUGCCACUGAAACCCUAGAACUGAAUGCCCGAGUUGGAAAAGAGAGUGUGGGUUGUGUGUGAGAAUAUGAAAUGUAUAUAUUUUGGUAUGCGAAAUUUGUAUAUUUUGGUAUGUGGAAUUAGAUGAAAUAUAUGAAUGUAUAUGUAAAAUAUAUAUGCAAAUUUGUAUAUGUAUGUGUGAAUAUGUAUGAAAAAAAUGUAUAUGUAUGUGUGAAUAUGUAUGAAAAAAAAUGUAUAUGUA